CCUCUAAAGGCAUUUGCUCAUGUGCUACCUUUAUUUAUUGCAAUGCAUCAUGGAAUUUAAUGAUCUACCAGUUGAGAAAAUUUAUAAUCUAAGAAAUUAGGAAUAUGUUACCAAUAGUAUUAAUGACUAUUAAAGUGCCAGCAGUCGCGGUCAUACUUUAGUUAAAAAUAAACACCAUUAGGAUAUGUAUAAGAAACAAAAAAUCUGUAGUGAAAUACGGUUAUAUAUACUUUAAUACUUAUAAUUGAAAUAAAUACUGAUAACAAACAGGGAUUAGAUACCCCUUUAUGCAGUAAGCAACAAUACGUCCUGGGCACUACAACUAACAGGUUGAAACCCAACGAACAUGGUGGUAGUUUAAACAUUUAGGGGAACUUACUAAAUAAAUGAUAACCACCAAGGAUAUGUACGUUAAAUAAAAUUUUACAUACCGUCGUCAUCAGAUCUACUUAGAUAGAAUAUCAACAUAUUUUUAAAGAUAAAAGGACAGAUCAAGGUGUAGACUAUUUUAACGUUUCAGCGAGUUACAAUAUUGUUUAUUUUCGUAAACUAGUUAUAUAAUUACUUACAGGCGGACUUAAAAGUAAUAUUUAUAAAAAAUACAAUAUGAAUAAUUUUAAUCUGUGC
rnacentral:rRNA from 1 species